CAGUUCCUGGAGAUGGAGCCCGAUCUUUGGGGCCUGCUUUAUUGUGCUGCCAACUUCGGGAUCUCGCCGCCGCCGCCCGCGGAGCGCCGGCAGCUCGAAGACAAACCCGAGCCGAGCGCCGCCAGCGCCGGGCGUCCCCGCGGAGUCACCUUUGGCACAGAUGUCACCGCUGCGUGUCACAAUUCUCCCACCCCGAGUUACGAGCGAUCCUUUUGCCGGAGUUAGUCUGCGUAACUCAUUUGAAGCAGCAGAACCACAGCUGAACCCUUUACAUCUCAAACCACCACCCUCUGUGCAUUAUGUGAGUUACGUGAACUGGGAGACCAUCAGGACUGAUGCCUCUGCACUUUCCAGCCACUUGAGAUGCACUGCAAGUAAGGUUUGUGCUUCUAAGGCAAUUUCAUGACGUUGGACCAUAAACCUGCUCCUGGCUCAUCUCUGAAUCUGACUGCACCUGAACUAAUUUAGCAGCACGCAGUCAUUGAUAAACACUGGUCAUUCCACCUUGGCAGAGAAAAUGCAAACGUGCAUUUCUGUUUGCUUUCAAUUGUCUUUAAGUUCUGUUCAAUUCUUUUUUUUUCUUCUGCAAUAAAAUGUUUGAGGGUGGGUGGAAAAGUAAGCAUGUCUGUGAAGAACAUUUCCUCCUAUCCCCUGCACUUAUUCACAAAGCAUAUACAAGCUGAAGGGAUACAACAAUAUAGCACAAAUAACAGGAAAAUCUACCAGUUUCACGGACCAGCUGCAAUUGUUCAGACAUUCUGGAUGUUCCUGUCUUCUCUAGGCUCUAGAAUUUAGGGUCUGAUCAUAGAAAUUAUCUGCAAAUGCCAAUCACUGAGAUAUGCUACAUCAUAUUUCCAUUUCAAAUGGACAUGCAAGACUUAUAACAUCAUAGCUAGAACGAUCUAUGGAUGUAAAGGCAGCAACAUACGUAGGUGGAUAUUACAUCUUCUAUUAGUCCUACUGAUGUCAUGGAAGCUUACGAAUUCAGUAUCGUUAUUUAAUUUGUGUUUUAAAAAGUUCUGCUCAUUUUCCAUUUCAAGCUGCAAACCACUGUGGUAACCACUGUGCUGUAAUAAUAAUGCUGCUAUAGAGCUACAGUAAUUAGGCAAUACAAGCCAAAGUUUGUAGGUAGAAGAUGGUCCAAAAGCUGUUAACUCCACCUACCACUUUUACAGCAGACCAAGCAAAGCAGUUCCAAAAGGUACUGCGUAACUGAAACCUGCAUUACAGACCCUUGUGUAACAAACUGCAAUAAAAAAGCAGGAUCCCUCCUAUGCUAUGAUUUCCCUUCUGAAUUGUCAAAUUACUUGGAAACUUACAAAAUUAACUUUUAAGGCAGUCUUAAAACGUAACUCACAAACAGCACCUUUGCUAAGUAUGUUUUAAAAAAAGAAAGCCCCCAAAAAACUAUCCCUGGUCUCCUCUCACAUAUACCUUUAGGUUGUGCAGGCCACUCUUGGCUGCCUCUUGGUUUGAUACCUCUUCCACUCACACACUAGGAAGAAGAGUGAGACAUAUUAAUCUGUAUUUCUAAGUGCAGAUAAAUCCUUUCAACAACUGCAUCACAAGUAGAAAAGAACAAAAAAAACACUGAAACUCACUAACUGAACAGUUCAAGAAAAAUACAAGAUGUGGUGAAAUUCCCUUCUUUUGAAAGAGCCUCCAACCCCCAAAUCCCUCUUUUCAGGAAAACACCAUAAUAAUUUCAGCUACAUUUCUUGCUUAAACUGCUUACUAUGUCACUUAUGAAGUCAGGAUGUAUAUUUUGCAUUUUCCAAGGACACAGAGAUGGUGCAAGCUCCUAACUUCUUUUAUAGAGCAUCUUUAACAUAAACAAUUGCUCAGACUGAGCAGAGAGCAGUUGGCCACCAAAUUGAACAGAAACAAGAAGCGUGCGUGGGGGGAGGUCAAGCAUUUAAGAUAUGCAACCAUCUGUAGCACUUGUCUAGGACUGCUGAUACAUACUGUUAAUAACAAGCCAGACUGCAAGAGGAAAUGUCUUUUAAAAUACGGAUACACAGAUCUUAAAAUACAGAUAUAUUAAAAUCCUGCAUCUGUAACAGGGUAUGAGGUUAAGUACCCCGGCCCUCCAGUUGGAGUCCUGAGAGAGCAUGAUGGGGGGAGUCAUGAAAGAAACAAAAGAAACUGUGCAAAGUAAAUGCAAUGGAUGAGAGAACUGCUGCAAACCACAAAUUCCCAGCAGCUGCAGGGAUAGCACAGGAGCUCCAACUGAAAGAUAUCCUCAGUUAAACAUGCUGGAAUUGCAUUUUAAAUUGUUUUUGUGAAGGUUGUUGUUGUACUCCCUCCCUGGAUGCUUAAGGGUCAUAUGAAGAUACCAAACAAAUCCCAGUGUUUUGUACUAGGGUUUUUUUUUUUGUUUUUUGAGAUUAAUAUACACAGCAUCCUAAUACAAAUGUUUUAUUUAAAGUAAAAAUUGUGCACAAAUAAAGAGAAUGAUUACACAACAAUGUUCAAGACUAUAUUCCAUACGAAACAAGAAAGUAGUAGAGACAAUAUGAACGAGCAGAGCACCCAUAAGAAUCUAACUCACAUACAAAAGGGUCAGCUCCACAUAAAUACAUCACACUUCUGAUGCAGACACUUUCUUCAAAAUUCAAAGCCUACCCAACUGUUUACAUGCCAUAUCCCUUCUGAAUACUUAUGGAAGUUGCUAUUACACUCCACAAUGAAAAAUAACUUAAUUUCAUGGCACUUAGGAGAAAAUUAAAGUUUAACAAUGGACUUACAGUCAUUAAAGAUAUUUAUCUCAGUGGCAAUAGUUAGAUGCGUAAAUAGAAAAAGUAUAUUUUCUGUGACAUCAUCUAUAAAAAGUUUUGCUUUGAGCACAAAAGACAGUGCUCUUCUGUGAUCAACAGCAGAAAUGCCCUUCCCUACGUAAAGCUAUUUUGCUUGAUAUUGUACAUGAAAUUAAGGAACUGUACAGAGAAGGCUUUUCUUGCUUGCUUUAAGUAACUUCAAAUUUACUACCAAUUAAGUUCCAACUAGUCACAUGAGUGUCAAACACUUAAAUUUAUAACUGGCUGCAAGCAGUUUCAUUUCACAUGAAAUAACAGUGUUGAAGUUAUUAGCUGCUCUUUAAAAGUAGAUUUACUCUGAUAUUUUACCUUGGAAAGUGUACAACUUGAAGCCAAGAGAACCCAACUUUUAACAGUGCAGAAGUUUAAUGCUUCCCUGGAAUGGAGGUCCCUCCAAUUAGUUCCCAGUUUUAAAAAUUCAGCCCAGUAUUUUGGUUCCUACUCAUGAUGCAAAGAAAAGUACAUACUAAAUACCACACCAUGAACUACUGUGCUUGUGCAGUCUCUCCCCUUGAAGCUAACAUAUAAAGUGAGAAAAACAUACACUGGAAGAGUCAUGCUACGAAUUUACCGUUUUACCACACAAGGAUUUUCACAGGGACACUGACUAAACAGAAAGCUUACUAAAAGCUUCAGAUAAGGUUUGCUAACUUGUGUUCACAGACACUUAAAUCUGCUUUAAGUAACACUAAGUUGCCUUACAUCUCUUAUUUAUAUAAAUACAGAUUCUUUUCUUCAAUGUCUUUUAAUCCCUUUUCCCCAAAAAUAAACAUUAAGAAGUGGUACAUUUGGCAUUUCUUCAGCCUAAGACAUUCAAAGCUAUCUCCCAAAUAUUAAAAAUAAGAGUUAGCUGUGCUGUAUAUUACACUGUUUGCUAACAUGAAAUGUAAUAAUCACACCUCCUGAAAGUCCCAGUUUGAACAGUUCUGUUUAUUCUAAUUGCUUUACUAUUAGCUUUGAGUCUACUAC